rnacentral:rRNA from 1 species
CCUACGGGAGGCAGCAGUGAGGAAUAUUGGUCAAUGGACGAGAGUCUGAACCAGCCAAGUAGCGUGAAGGAUGAAUGCCCUAUGGGUUGUAAACUUCUUUUAUAAAGGAAUAAAACGAGGCACGUGUGCCUUUUUGCAUGUACUUUAUGAAUAAGGAUCGGCUAACUCCGUGCCAGCCGCCGCGGUAAUACGGAGGAUCCGAGCGUUAUCCGGAUUUAUUGGGUUUAAAGGGAGCGUAGAUGGGUUGUUAAGUCAGUUGUGAAAGUUUGCGGCUCAACCGUAAAAUUGCAAUUGAUACUGGCAGUCUUGAGUACAGUUGAGGUAGGCGGAAUUCGUGGUGUAGCGGUGAAAUGCUUAGAUAUCACGAAGAACCCCGAUUGCGAAGGCAGCUUACUAAACUGUGACUGACAUUGAUGCUCGAAAGUGUGGGUAUCAAACAGGAGUAGAUACCCUUGUAGUC